AGAGGUAAACUUGGAUGAAGAUUAAGAUUUUCUGUAGGGAGAAAUAAGCUUUGAAGCGGUUGAAGAUGAGCGAGACGAGAACCAGAGGGAUCAAGAUGAAGGCUAAGGAGACGAAGGAGGCAAUAGUGGGAGCGUAUUUGUUGCCGACGUAAGGUUUAAAUCCUCUUGUGAUUUGUUUGUUGGCUUUGGUGAUGUAAGCCUUUGAAGUUGUUGAAAUUUUCUCCAGGUCUGGUAAUAGAGUUUGCUGAAAUCUAAUGGGUAGAUCUCUGAAUUCCGAUACUAAAUCGUCAUCUUCCUGAUCAAGCCAAAAGGGUAGUAUCUUCUGAGUCUUUUCCUUGUUGGGUUUUUUGGUUUCUGCGUUUUGAUUCUUCUUGGACUCUGAUGAAUCUUUAUUCUUUUCUGUAAUUGUGGGUUUCUCUGAUUUUGGGGAAGUGGGUUUAGUUGUCUUGUUCUUUGGUGAGCUCAGAUUGAGCAGAUCUGAGGAUUUCUUAGAAGAUAACAAACUGGCUUUGGUAGAGUUUGACGCUUUGGAGGUGGAAUUAAGCUUUUUGAGCUUAAUUGAAGUUGAAUUCAGC
rnacentral:lncRNA from 1 species